UGGAAACUCAAGUCAGAUCCUACAUUUAACAUUUUAAUGCUCACUAUUAUAUUUCUGGUAACACUUAUGGUUCAAUCGAUAAUGAAUAACUACACAGGUCCAAAUGAGUAAUAUUAAAUAAUAAAAUCACUAUAUGAUAUUUUGAUGGCUGAUGACUCAAUAUGUUCCAGUAGUCUCCAUGACUCCAUAUGGAUUCAAUGCGACUCCAGAGGAAUGCCCGAAAACUGGGCACAGACAGGGUUGAUCUUUGAGUAAUAUGAUUGGAUGGUCUGAACAUCAUGGAUGAUUCUGCUUUAUCUUGGGUAUAAAUAUGACCCAUCUCUGCGUUUGCUUGAUCAUUUCCUGAGACCUCACGACCCUGCGAAACACAUCUGAUCUACAGAUAACCUGAAGAUUCGUGAAGGUGCAUCAUAAAACAAACCAGAGGUUUACUAUCCCAGACUGCCUCAAGUCAUGGAGAUUCAUCAGUCUGCUGUGAUUCUGCUGCUGGUCUUGUGUGUGUCGUUCUCCACUCAUGCUCAACCACCCGGUUAUCAACAUUUCCGCAAUCAGCAUGUGGGUCCUCUUGUGAACGUGGAAAUGUGUACCAAUGUAAUCAUGGAGAGACGCAUCACUGCACCUGACGGUAGCUGCAAACCUGUCAACACCUUCAUACAAGCAAAUGAAAAUGUCAUCAACCCAGUUUGUGGCAGAGGAGGAACUCCACAGGGCGGAAACCUGUUUAGGAGCAACAAUCCUUUUAACGUGGUCACGUGUAGAUUACAGCCUGGGUCGACACAGCCAUACUGUGUUUAUCGUAGAGGGCAGUUGUCCACUCGUAAUAUAGUGUUAGGGUGUGUACGCGGCUGGCCUGUACAUUAUCAAAAUGAGUAAAGUACAGAUGACAUCAGGCUGAAUAGAGCAGCUUUAUUUGCUAAUCAUUUGUUCACUUCUCCUUUCCCAUCUUUCUUUGUUUUUCAAGUGCAAAAAGAGAAGAAAAAGUGAGUCAAUCAUGAAGCCAAACAUAAAAUAAAUACAAAAUACAAAUAGAAAAUGUAAACCUCUCUCUUUAUGAGACUCUGAUAUGAAUGUGAACGAGAAUAUCUUCACUCAUUUACCUUAAACGAGAAUGAGGUUAAAAUAUCUUUACAAUAUUUCUUUAAGUUGAUGGUGUAUUCCUCACUUCUUUAUUCAUGUCUCUGUGUGUAAUUGUGUUUUUCAUGUGCAAGAUUUGGCUAGUCUACUGAAUUUAUUCACUCUGUUAACGCUUUUUGAGCAUUAAAAAAAUGUUUAAUGGGAGUAGUGAUUGAGCAAAAACAGACGAGGGGAGAAAGACACAGAUGUUUUUACAGCUGUCUGUAAACCUCAAUAAAACUUCUCUAACAUUAAA